ACGACAAGAAAAGAAAACAAAAGACGGCAAAAGAAUAGUAGAAGAAGAAGAAAAAAAAAUUUAUUGGAUCCGUUGAAAGAGAGUGAGCAAUGGUUGUUUACACAAGAAUGAAGGAUUCCAAGUGACUUCGAGGAGACGUCAUGAGUGGUAUUCCAAUAGUCAUUCGGGUUUCUAGACUCGGGGUUAGGUGGAAUUGAGGAUUGUCAAAUUCUUAGAACGAAGCAAAGAAUAAUUCGAGAUUGUUAUUGUCUUCUAGGCGAAGGUUAAAUAAAGUCUUUAAUGUUUAGAUGAUGAAUUGAGAGUUUGUAAUAAUGAGAUUCUUUCUUAGGUUGAAAUUUAUUUGGAGUUGAGGAAUACUUAUUUUUAUCAAGUUAAUUGGCUUAGUUUGAC